UGGGAGUAAAACGAAUCAAGGUUAAACUGAUUUUCGCAAGCUUCACCUUUGCUUGAUGAAAUCUUGUGCCAGAUCCAUUGUUUUGCUUGAGCUCAGAUUUGAUGGAGAGCUGCAGAUUUAAGAAAACCGGAUCCGGUCAGGGAACUACGAGAGUAAUCAAAUAACAAAAGUGUGUUUAAGAGAUAACCUAACCAUGAGCCGUACCUUGCUGAAAAGUUUCAUCCUUAUCAGGAAACUCCACUAAUCAAGCAUACAGAAGAUCAAGUGCAAAGAAUAAUAAUGGUUAAGAGACUACCAUACCAAAGGCACUGUUGUUUCUCGCUUGCUAUUUUUGAAAAUGCCCAUGUCUCCUUUGCUUGAAAGUAUCUGUUUCGCAAGAGUAUCAGGAGUGACAAGUAUAACGCAAGUUGAGGAGGAGACACGAGAAAGGAUAGUGUACCUUCUUGUUUAGAGGACGAGCUUUAAAAAUGUGUUUUCCCUCCGAGACAUCAUGCUUAGAUAUAUCCAUAGCGCUUGGUCUGGAAGAUUUUUUUUAAAAAUUGUAAGUUAGUAUUAACCUCAAACACAAGUUGAAGUGAGAAAUCAAGCAAUUUUCUAAUUUUUCUCUG